rnacentral:rRNA from 1 species
AUUGAACGCUGGCGGCAUGCCUUACACAUGCAAGUCGAACGGUAACAGGUCUUCGGAUGCUGACGAGUGGCGAACGGGUGAGUAAUACAUCGGAACGUGCCCGAUCGUGGGGGAUAACGAAGCGAAAGCUUUGCUAAUACCGCAUAGGAUCUACGGAUGAAAGCAGGGGACCGCAAGGCCUUGCGCGAACGGAGCGGCCGAUGGCAGAUUAGGUAGUUGGUGGGAUAAAAGUUUACCAAGCCGACGAUCUGUAGCUGGUCUGAGAGGACGACCAGCCACACUGGGACUGAGACACGGCCCAGACUCCUACGGGAGGCAGCAGUGGGGAAUUUUGGACAAUGGGCGAAAGCCUGAUCCAGCCAUGCCGCGUGCAGGAUGAAGGCCUUCGGGUUGUAAACUGCUUUUGUACGGAACGAAAAGACUCUGGUUAAUACCUGGGGUCCAUGACGGUACCGUAAGAAUAAGCACCGGCUAACUACGUG